GAGAAGAUGUUACAGGGAAAAGGAAGCCCCAUUAACCAACCAUUCGGUUUUUUAUUUGAACCAGGUUUCCAGAAGUGAAGAUGGUGAUGAAUUUCAGGUUUUGGAACCAGUGAGAAUGGAGAAGAAGCUUAAGAACAAUUUGGUGCCUAUGGGUGGAGGAGAUGAACAACUGACGACUGAUCUAAACUUACCCGUUUGUAGAGAUAUUGGAAAUGGGUCUUGACCAGGGAAGGAGAAGAUUACAUGGUCACAUCAGGUGGCUUUGAGGGCUUAGAUAGCACUUCUGUGUUAGCUGAUUGGCCAUUUCUGUCUGGCCCUGCAAUGGUUAAUCAUCAUCAUUUGUAGAGUUUUCCAUUUUUGUUUUCUUCUUGUAAUUUGUAUAGGGAAAAGAAUGAGAUUUUAUAGGUCUAAUGUUUAUAAGUGGAAUUUGAUGAAACAAUUCUCUUCUAAUCAAAAUUCAGAAAUUGUUCAU